GACUACGGGUGCCUGCAGGGGGGGAUAUUGCACGAUUGGGGAAACUCUGAUGCAGCAACGCCGCGUGAGGUAAGAAGUUCUUCGGAUUGUAAACCUCUAUCCUCAGGGACGAUAAUGACGGUACCUGUGGAGUAAGCUCCGGCUAACUACGUCCCAGCAGCCGCGGUAAUACGUAGGGAGCAAGCGUUGUCCGGAUUUACUGGGUGUAAAGGGUGCGUAGGCGGCCCUGCAAGUCAGGUGUGAAAACUAUGGGCUUAACUCAUAGAUUGCACUUGAAACUGUGGGGCUUGAGUGAAGUAGAGGCAGGCGGAAUUCCCGGUGUAGCGGUGAAAUGCGUAGAGAUCGGGAAGAACACCAGUGGCGAAGGCGGCCGGCUGGGCUUUAACUGACGCUGAGGCACGAAAGCGUGGGUAGCAAACAGGAUUAGAUACCCUUGUAGUC
rnacentral:rRNA from 1 species